CAGAAGGUAGUUUAAUAUAAAACACUGGUUUUGGGUGCCAGAGAUAAAGUAAUUUCCUUUUGA
rnacentral:tRNA from 1 species